rnacentral:rRNA from 1 species
GAUGAACGCUGGCGGCGUGCUUAACACAUGCAAGUCGAACGGGAAUUCUUUUAUUGAACCUUCGGUCGAUUUAAUUUAAUUGUAGUGGCGGACGGGUGAGUAACGCGUGGGUAGCCUGCCUUAUACAGGGGGAUAACAGUCAGAAAUGGCUGCUAAUAUCGCAUAAGCGCACAGAGCUGCAUGGCUCAGUGUGAACAACUCGGGUGGUAUAAGAUGGACCCGCGUUGGAUUAGCUGGUUGGUGGGGCAACGGCCCACCACGGCGACGAUCCAUAGCCGGCCUGAGAGGGUGAGCGGCCACAUUGGGACUGAGACACGGCCCGGACUCCUACGGGAGGCAGCAGUGGGGAAUAUAGCACAAUGGGGGAAACCCUGAUGCAGCGACGCCGCGUGAAGGAUGAAGUAUCUAGGGAUGUAAACUUCUAUCAGCAGGGAAGAUAGUGACGGUACCUGACUAAAAAGCCCCGGCUAACUACGUG